CCGUCACUGUUGCUAGUGUGCAACUCUGGGGACACGGGCUGGAAUUGCACUUUAGCAAUGGUGACGG
rnacentral:pre_miRNA from 1 species